rnacentral:sRNA from 1 species
CCUCUUCACUCAGUACACGCCCUACACGCUGGCUGGAGGCAAGGCCUGGGACGAGCAGGAGAGAGACGCUUAUGCAGACAGAGCACAGCUGACUGCAUGAACCAAAGGAGUAGCAUAAGCCAGAGAGCCAAGGAAGGCUUUCAAAGGAAGGGACAGUCAAGCUGGGUUUCCAAGGAUGACUAGGAGCUGGCCAGGCAGCAAAGGGCAUUCCAAACAAGAGAAACAGCUUGAGCAGGCCGGGCGUGGGGGCUCAUGCCUGUAAUUCCAGCACUUCGGGAGGCCGAGGCAGGCAGAUCACCUGAGUGUUCGAUUGCAUCGAGGUCUAUGCCCCUGGCUUCAAGGACUCUGUGGUUGGCAGAGACAUCCUCACACCACCAGAUUUGGAGAGAAUCUUCGGGCUUCCUGGAGGG